AUGGGAAUGGAGUCACAUCAACGUCGGAGAUCCACAAGUCGCUUUCGUCAUCGACCACUAGAUACCCUUGUUAUAUUCAAUGGACCUUUGUGGUCUUGUACUCAAGUUCUUAUAAUUGCUUGGAAUUCUGUAUCAAGGAAGUGUCCACCAGCUAACAGUAAUCCUGGGGUUGGCGAUGACACAAGGGUCAUUUGUUGGGAUUAUAUGUCCCGGAAAAUUGGCCCUAACAGGUAUCCUCAAAGUUUUACAAAACUAGAAAACCAGACAUUUCAUUUUAGUAUUUCAUCUAUUCUUAAGCAAUUAGACCUAAAACUCAGGGUCAAAUAA
rnacentral:rRNA from 1 species